GGAUGGGACUCCAACCACGUCCGGCGCCUGCACCGCCACGCGCCCGUCGACCACGAGGGCAGCUCCACCCUCGUCCUGCACAUCAAGGUGCCCGUCCAUCUCGUAAGCUCCGUUCCAUCCUCCUCCUCACUGCAGUGGUUGGAUAGCAGCUACACCGCUGCAAUUCCAUCCCUGCUGACUACAAGUGCUUCGUCCAUGGAGGAUUUACGCCAUGUGUUUCAUGGUUUGCUCGUGCAACUUGUGCUUCGGCAAUGGAGGAUGCAGUCUAUGUGUUUGAUGGUUUGCCUCUGCAGCACCGACCAAUUAACCAUGCUAGAUUUAGCUAACAGGGACUCCUAUUUGACGGAAAAAAGACACAUUCAGGCUACUUGCCUUGUCUAAGAUAAUGUUUCUAGGUCGGAUAUGAUUUUUAUUUUUUAAGCAAUAAUUUAAGCAAGUUAAAUGUACCUGGGAUAUGAUGCUCCUUUGUCGGUCUCACAUAAAAAAAAUCUGACAAAAUAACACAUUUGCAUUAAUAAAAUAACAACCGUUGUUUAUCCUUCGCAAUUAAGCUCAUCAUAUGUUUUUUGUGGCAAGAUCUUACCUGAUGUAACCAUACUUUAUUUCAUAUAUAGAGAUAGAGAUUUUUCUAGCCAAGAUUUAUACCACCAGCUGUAGCUGAGGAGGGCUCGUGCUUAUAAAGGUAAUGAGGUUUCUUGAGUGCUUUGCAAUUAGUUUUCUUGACUGCUGCUGUAUCUCUAUAGUAGCUAUUGCUAUUCUUCUAUCCUUAUAGACCAUUUACAAUAAAUAGUGCACCUAUUAUAAUGAUCCCACGCUAGAGUAUCGUACGGUUGAGUUCUUUUUUUGGCCAUAGGGAAACUUAGAGAUACUUUGUUAACAAAGUUUUUUUUACAAUGCUAAAUCGCAGUUAAUACUUAUCUGAUGUUCAAAACUAAUCUUUUGUUUGAUUGGGAUAUAUACAUAUGCAGAUUGGUAUUUGCACCUUCAGGUAUCUUUUAGACAAUUGGUUCAAUGGAACUAUGCAAAACUCACCACAGUAAGGGAUGUAUUUUUCAACAAAAGUAUUUCACAUUGUUUUUUCCCAAAUGCGUAAUUAUGGCGGAAGAUAAGGCAAAAGAGAGGUUGUUGAUAAGCUCCUUCAGUUUGUAGGAAAUCAAUAUUUAUGUAAACCUUUAUUAGCUAUUCACACAAUUGAUUUAACUAUCCACUCUGAUUUUGACUUGCUUACUUACAUUUAUUUUCUUAGUCCUUGUUUCAUGGCCAGGGAGAUACUAUUUGUGGUACUGAUUAAAAGUAGAAAGUUUCUUCUUUUGCUAAGCUUAUUGUGGUUAGCAUUUUUCUUUUUUUUUCUCAUUAGUAUUUAAAUUCUGAAUACCCUUCUAAGUAGGUUGCGGCUUGCUUGUUCGUUUUCAGAUAUGGUGAAAUGUUCCAUUUGCAUAAUGGAACAGAACAUACUUGAGAUGGCUAAGCUUGUUUAUGAACCUCAAAGUUCAGAAUUACAAAUCUAUUGUCUACGGCAAAAUUACAGAUAGGCUACCAGUACACAUCUUCGGUUUGAUCAGUGCAACAAUGCUUGCUCUUCUGCUUGUUAGGUGAUGUCCUAUCGCUUGUGUGCCCUCCCAAAUCAUAAUUUCAAUUUUCUUAUCUGUCAAUGUUGUUAAUUAAUUACUUCAAUAUGCAUCAGCAAACCAUCGCUCUGAAUUGAUUUAGUGAAGUUAAGUGGCCACAUGCUCUUAAUCUUUGUAGCCAACUAUAGCUUUUAGUAAGAAACUAGCCGACGAUCCUCACUGUAAAUAGAAUGACACAAUGAUAGACCUCUUCAUGUUACCAGCACAUUUGCGUUUUGCUUUUCAGUGCUUUUCAGAAGACCAUAUAUGUAUCACUUUGUGGCUAUAUAUUUGCAUUGUAAAUAAACCACUGUUAUCAUCAGGAACAAUGAGCCAUUUAUUAGGCAACACUCAACAUUGUUUGAACGCAGAGAAAAGAGGACAAGCCGCCCAAUGGGUGUCAGCCAUGCCCAGUCAGCUUUAGUUGUCCUGCCUACCUCCUACCACCUGCAUAUAGACGUACCACCACCCAUCCAUCUGAAAUCUUUUUUCAUCCUCCUGUCUCUGCACCUGUCUGUUCCCCGUCCUUCUCCACCAAAAUCUUUAGCUAGCACUUAUUUUUCUCCUCGACUUCCAUAGUCAAGUCCACGGCUGUUAGAACUUUGCGCCUCCACAGGUAACACAAGCUAGUGGAACAACAUGUGAAUGCAAGGAAGGUGGCUUCCCCGGUUGAAAAACAAUCCUGACAGAUGCAAUGGCUGCAAAUCUCUUCCAAUGACCAUCCUUUCUUGUCAGCUCAGAAACAAGGGAUUUUCGUUGCACUUGCCCUGCGUUUUGACGUCUCAAGAGGUAUCAAGAACCGUUACUUCAACAGUGCAUUUUUGAGAUACACUGGGUUUGACAGUGACCAUCAUUGUAAUGAACUGGUCUCAUGCUGCACAGCCUGCUCUACUAUACAUUGUUCCUGGUGUGAUCAGUUUCGUUGUUGUUCACUAUUUGUGGAAUGGAGAAGUAAAACAGCAAAUGAUAUUAUCAUUACAUGACUAUAAAAUAACCGCAAGGGCGCGCCAAGGCGCGCGCAAAGUACUCGUAUGGAGUAGUUGCGCAGACAACAACGUGCCGACCGAUACCCCGAAGACAAAUGCGUGCUAGUUGAAGGUGGUACCGAUGCGGCUGCUUCAGUGCUUCGACUUUAAUUUCGUGC